UGAUGACAAAUUCUCCGGAAUCUCUGUACUACCUUGAUGAUUACAUUUGAACCUAUUAUCUGAUGACUGCCGGGUUCGUGUGCCCAUU
ensembl:snoRNA